CACGUAGUUGGCCGGGGCUUCUUCUGCAGGUACCGUCAUUUUCGUCCCUGCUGAAAGUGGUUUACAACCCAAGGGCCUUCAUCCCACACGCGGCGUUGCUGCCUCAGGCCCUCGCCCAUUGGGCAAGAUUCCCCA
rnacentral:rRNA from 1 species